rnacentral:rRNA from 1 species
UACGUAGGGUGCGAGCGUUGCCCGGAUUUAUUGGGCGUAAAGGGCGCGUAGGCGGCUCUGCACGUCCGUUGUGAAAUCGCCCGGCUCAACUGGGCGGGGUCAGCGGAUACGGCGGAGCUUGAGCAAGCUAGGGGGCAAUGGAAUUCCCGGUGUAGCGGUGAAAUGCGCAGAUAUCGGGAAGAACACCCGUGGCGAAGGCGGCUCUCUGGGACGGUACUGACGCUGAGACGCGAAAGCGUGGGGAGCGAACAGG